GACGAACGCUGGCGGCGUGCUUAACACAUGCAAGUCGAACGGAAAGGCCUUUUCGGCGGUACUCGAGUGGCGAACGGGUGAGUAACACGUGGGUGAUCUGCCCUGCACUCUGGGAUAAGCCUGGGAAACUGGGUCUAAUACCGGAUAGGACCGCACUUUAGUGUGCGUGGUGGAAAGUUUUUUCGGUGUAGGAUGAGCCCGCGGCCUAUCAGCUUGUUGGUGGGGUAAUGGCCUACCAAGGCGGCGACGGGUAGCCGGACUGAGAGGUUGGUCGGCCACAUUGGGACUGAGAUACGGCCCAGACUCCUACGGGAGGCAGAAGUGGGGAAUAUUGCACAAUGGGCGCAAGCCUGAUGCAGCGACGCCGCGUGGGGGAGGACGGCCUUCGGGUUGUAAACACCUUUCGCCAGGGACGAAGCGUUUUGUGACGGUACCUGGAGAAGAAGCACCGGCUAACUCUGUG
rnacentral:rRNA from 1 species